CGCAUCUGUGCAUGCAGCAUAUCAAUAAGCGGAGGAAAAGAAACUAACAAGGAUUCCCUUAGUAACGGCGAGUGAAGCGGGAAGAACUCAAAUUUGAAAUCUUCAAGGUUUUACCUUGACGAAUUGUAGUUUAAAGAAGUGUUUUCUGCUGAAGUUUUGGUAAAAGUUCUUUGGAAUAGGACAUCAUAGAGGGUGAGAAUCCCGUAUUUGACCAUUAUUUUCAGCUUUGUGAUACACUUUCAAAGAGUCGGAUUGUUUGGGAAUGCAGUCCAAAAUGGGUGGUAAAUUUCAUCUAAAGCUAAAUAUUGGCGAGAGACCGAUAGCGAACAAGUACCGUGAGGGAAAGAUGAAAAGAACCUUGAAAAGAGAGUUAAACAGUACGUGAAAUUGUCAAAAGGGAAGCGUUUGACACCAGUGUUGUUUUCUCGAAAAUCAAUUAAAAAUGGCUCGAUUUUGUAUUGCUGAGACCUUAAAAGCUCACUGUACAUUUUUCGUGUCUUUUUUAAUGCACUUUUCGUUUAACAAGUCAACAUCAGUUUCUUUUGUUGUAAAAGGGUCAUUGGAAGGUGGCUUUCUUUUCGGAGAAAGUGUUUAUAGCCUUUGGCCUCUGCAAUCGGAAGAGACUGAGGUCUGCAGCGUAGACUCUUCGGGGUUAGAUACAUUUGUGCUAAGUUAUAGCUUUUUAUAGACAACCUGUUGACUAUAAUUAGUCUUGUAGCUUACUCGCUUAUGCUAUUUUACCUACGCUUAGGAUGUUGACGCAUGAGAUAUACGC
rnacentral:rRNA from 1 species